rnacentral:misc_RNA from 1 species
UGGUUCUCGCAUCGAUGAAGAACGCAGCGAAACGCGAUAGGUAAUGUGAAUUGCAGAAUUCAGUGAAUCAUCGAAUCUUUGAACGCACAUUGCGCCUUCUGGUAUUCCGGGAGGCACGUCUGUUUGAGCGUCAGCAAAAACCCUUCGGUGGAGGUUUAUUGCCUCCGCCGGCCAAUGGGGUCGGGCGCGCGGUCGCAGCAGGGGCUUCAAAACCCCCCGCUCGCGCCGCCUCCCGCCCUUAAUUCAGCCGAAGCUAGCGGGCCGGUACCCCACGACCACGACGCAGUAAUGUAACAGUUAGACCGUCGCUGUCCGUCGGAGGGGAUGCGCGCCCUUGCCUAAAGCAAACCAAAUUUUUCUGACUUUUGACCUCAGAUCAGACGAGGAUACCCGCUGA